UACAGAGGUCUCAAGCGUUGUUCGGAUUCAUUGGGCGUAAAGGGUGUGUAGGUGGCGCCGUAAGUCGGGUGUGAAAUUUCGGAGCUUAACUCCGAAACUGCAUUCGAUACUGCGGUGCUUGAGGACUGGAGAGGAGACUGGAAUUUACGGUGUAGCGGUGAAAUGCGUAGAUAUCGUAAGGAAGACCAGUGGCGAAGGCGGGUCUCUGGACAGUUCCUGACACUGAGGCACGAAGGCCAGGGGAGCAAACGGG
rnacentral:rRNA from 1 species